rnacentral:rRNA from 1 species
AGUGAACGCUGGCGGUAGGCCUAACACAUGCAAGUCGAACGGCAGCACAGUAAGAGCUUGCUCUUACGGGUGGCGAGUGGCGGACGGGUGAGGAAUACAUCGGAAUCUACUUUUUCGUGGGGGAUAACGUAGGGAAACUUACGCUAAUACCGCAUACGACCUACGAGUGAAAGCAGGGGAUCUUCGGACCUUGCGCGAUUGAAUGAGCCGAUGUCGGAUUAGCUAGUUGGCGGGGUAAAGGCCCACCAAGGCGACGAUCCGUAGCUGGUCUGAGAGGAUGAUCAGCCACACUGGAACUGAGACACGGUCCAGACUCCUACGGGAGGCAGCAGUGGGGAAUAUUGGACAAUGGGCGCAAGCCUGAUCCAGCCAUACCGCGUGGGUGAAGAAGGCCUUCGGGUUGUAAAGCCCUUUUGUUGGGAAAGAAAAGCAGCAGGUUAAUACCCCGCUGUUCCGACGGUACCCAAAGAAUAAGCACCGGCUAACUUCGUG